UACGGGGGGAGCAAGCGUUGUUCGGAUUUACUGGGCGUAAAGGGCGCGUAGGCGGAUUGCUAAGUCAGGGGGGAAAUCCUGGAGCUCAACUCCAGAACUGCCCUUGAUACUGGCGGUCUCGAGUCCGGGAGAGGUGAGUGGAACUGCGAGUGUAGAGGUGAAAUUCGUAGAUAUUCGCAAGAACACCAGUGGCGAAGGCGGCUCACUGGCCCGGUACUGACGCUGAGGUGCGAAAGCGUGGGGAGCAAACAGG
rnacentral:rRNA from 1 species